rnacentral:lncRNA from 1 species
GGAUAGGAUAUCUGCCCAGAUCAUUUCUAGUCAGACAGCUGGGAGUAGUUUUAACUAUGCACAUCUGUGUGUGUUUAGUCAUCUUUUUUAAUGUAGCUAAUAAUCUCGUUUAUAAGACUUUUUGGACACACAUUAAAUGCUCUUCUGUCUCCGAUGUGCACUACUAAAUGAAGACUGAUGUCUUCUCUAGACUUGGAACAAAACUGAUGGAAAUUUGGUGGGUUCUCAGAAGUGUGGGCCUCUAUGUAAUUAGGUAAAAAAUUCAGUUUCCAGUUAGAGCUGAAUUUCUUCUGAGCCUUUGUGUGCAUGUCCUUGGAGAUGGAUUUAGAGAGGUUUCAGCUUAAAAAGGCGGUGUUGAGGUUACCACCUUCUGGCAAUGCCUUUCUGGGAUGCUUGUAGCUGCAGUUAAGUAUAGCAGGCUCUGACCUGCUGUCAUACUGGAGUGUAUUCUGCUCACCCCCACAUCACAUAUGCCUUGGGGCACAUUCGUAAGAGAGAGAAUCCUUUUCCUCUAUGGUAUGUUCAGAUAAAAUAGCCCCUGGUGGAGGAAUCAUGUCUGGAAACCCAAGGGACUGAAUUUUAUACCCUUACUGUGACUUCACUGGUUUACCUAGACUGCUUCCUGGAUGACCACCAUUCUUAAAUCCAUUCAAAAUACCACAGAUAAGGCCUCAGUUAAAGUAUCAGCUUUGUUUGGUACUUGGCAAUUUGGAAAGGACGUGGCCAGCUGGGUACAAAAAAGGAAUAACAAAUCACACACAAGCAGCAACCUGGGUUGUGGCUGGUGCAUCCAGGGAUGUGACAGGGGAAAGGGUUCAGCUACAGAGAGAGCUCUUUCAAGUUUUUAAAGGCAGGAUUGCUGGAGGCCAUUCACUUUCUGGCAUCAGUGCUGCACAUCACUGCAUGACCUUACGUACUGUAUGGAGCCGUACAGCAUGCCAACACUUCACCAGCUCCCACUGAAGAAUAGCCCCCAAACACCACUCAAGAAUAAUGGAAAUAUAUGAAUGCACAAGAGCAAGCCCAGGGAGUAAGGUUCAUGCUUUCAUGUUCAGGAAAUGGUUCUGUGGUUUCCAAUGUUUAAUUUUAUAAACCUAGAUGUAGUGCCAUUGAUUAUGUAAGAAUUAAUCAUGCACAUAUAAUUAAAAGCUUACUGGACUUAAUAUUUGUGUGUGUUUCUAUAUUUGUGUACACAUUUUUAUAUCAGACAACAUUUGUGUCCUCAUCUUGCUAAACAAACAUCUGAAAUCAUUGCUCUUGUGGAUAUUUAACUGGAAAUCUUGGAGUCUAAUCAAGAAAGCCUUAGCAAUGGUUUAAACCUAAUCUUCAAAUCUGAA